rnacentral:rRNA from 1 species
CUGCUUCCAGGAAAAGCCUCUAAGCAUCAGGUAACAUCAAAUCGUACCCCAAACCGACACAGGUGGUCAGGUAGAGAAUACCAAGGCGCUUGAGAGAACUCGGGUGAAGGAACUAGGCAAAAUGGUGCCGUAACUUCGGGAGAAGGCACGCUGACACGUAGGUGAAGUGAUUUACUCAUGGAGCUGAAGUCAGUCGAAGAUACCAGCUGGCUGCAACUGUUUAUUAAAAACACAGCACUGUGCAAACACGAAAGUGGACGUAUACGGUGUGACGCCUGCCCGGUGCCGGAAGGUUAAUUGAUGGGGUCAGCGCAAGCGAAGCUCCUGAUCGAAGCCCCGGUAAACGGCGGCCGUAACUAUAACGGUCCUAAGGUAGCGAAAUUCCUUGUCGGGUAAGUUCCGACCUGCACGAAUGGCGUAAUGAUGGCCAGGCUGUCUCCACCCGAGACUCAGUGAAAUUGAACUCGCUGUGAAGAUGCAGUGUACCCGCGGCAAGACGGAAAGACCCCGUGAACCUUUACUAUAGCUUGACACUGAACAUUGAGCCUUGAUGUGUAGGAUAGGUGGGAGGCUUUGAAGCGUGGACGCCAGUCUGCAUGGAGCCGGCCUUGAAAUACCACCCUUUAAUGUUUGAUGUUCUAACGUGGACCCGUGAUCCGGGUUGCGGACAGUGUCUGGUGGGUAGUUUGACUGGGGCGGUCUCCUCCUAAAGAGUAACGGAGGAGCACGAAGGUUGGCUAAUCCUGGUCGGACAUCAGGAGGUUAGUGCAAUGGCAUAAGCCAGCUUGACUGCGAGCGUGACGGCGCGAGCAGGUGCGAAAGCAGGUCAUAGUGAUCCGGUGGUUCUGAAUGGAAGGGCCAUCGCUCAACGGAUAAAAGGUACUCCGGGGAUAACAGGCUGAUACCGCCCAAGAGUUCAUAUCGACGGCGGUGUUUGGCACCUCGAUGUCGGCUCAUCACAUCCUGGGGCUGAAGUAGGUCCCAAGGGUAUGGCUGUUCGCCAUUUAAAGUGGUACGCGAGCUGGGUUUAGAACGUCGUGAGACAGUUCGGUCCCUAUCUGCCGUGGGCGCUGGAGAACUGAGGGGGGCUGCUCCUAGUACGAGAGGACCGGAGUGGACGCAUCACUGGUGUUCGGGUUGUCAUGCCAAUGGCACUGCCCGGUAGCUAAAUGCGGAAGAGAUAAGUGCUGAAAGCAUCUAAGCACGAAACUUGCCCCGAGAUGAGUUCUCCCUGAGACUUAGAGUCUCCUGAAGGAACGUUGAAGACGACGACGUUGAUAGGCCGGGUGUGUAAGCGCAGCGAUGCGUUGAGCUAACCGGUACUAAUGAACCGUGAGGCUUAACCUU